UACGUAGGGUGCAAGCGUUGUCCGGAAUUAUUGGGCGUAAAGAGCUCGUAGGCGGUCUGUCGCGUCGGCUGUGAAAACCCGGGGCUCAACCCCGGGCCUGCAGUCGAUACGGGCAGACUAGAGUGCGGUAGGGGAGACUGGAAUUCCUGGUGUAGCGGUGAAAUGCGCAGAUAUCAGGAGGAACACCAAUAGCGAAGGCAGCUCGCUGGGACGGUACUGACGCUAAGGCGCGAAAGCGUGGGGAGCGAACAGG
rnacentral:rRNA from 1 species